GAGCUCAGGGCCAGAGCACCUGCUUUGCAUGCAGAAGUUCCUGGGUUCAAUCCCCAACAGCAUCUCCA